CUGUGGUGACCGAAAAACUGAUAUUAGGCGUAGAGCGAAAGGCAAUAUAGUUCUUGUUCUUGUCUGUUUCGAAUUUCAUCAUUGCAGUUAGUAAUCGUUUAGUCCUGUACGCGCGGUGUAUAUAGCUUACAGAUAAGCUUUGAAUACAAUUUUUCUAAUAUGACGAGGAACAAAACGAGUGGGUUCACAUAUUAUUCUACUGAAAUAAUUUUUAAGUUAUUUCUGGCAAUUGUUGUGGUAUUUUCUCUCGCGACUGCAGUUAAGGCUGUAUACUAUUGUGCAAACCAGAUGGAUUGCCCUCCUGGAAGUUAUUGCUACCAUGGCGUGUGUAAAGAUUUGAUGGAUGAUGAAUUCUGACGUACCGUAAUCAAGUUGAAUAAAGAACCAAGACGAUAGAAGAACACACAAUUUAUACAUUGAUAUUGCUUUACCUUUCGAAUAGUCUCAGCAUGUGUGAUUUUUUAUUGUCGAUGUUAUUUUAGAUUAAAUACAAAAUUCUAUUAACAAUGCAUGAUAUAUAUUUAUUUCAAGGCUAUGUUAAAAACUUCUAAUUCUACCUAAUUUGUUUGUAAUGAAAGUUAAGUGUAAAACAAGAAUUAAUUUUUGAAACUUCGUCGAAAGUAUUGAAAACGGCUGCCAAAUUUAGAAUUCUACCGAGUACAAUUCAA